rnacentral:rRNA from 1 species
UACGUAGGGUGCAAGCGUUAAUCGGAAUUACUGGGCGUAAAGCGUGCGCAGGCGGUUUUGUAAGUCUGUUGUGAAAUCCCCGGGCUUAACCUGGGAAUGGCAAUGGAGACUGCAAGGCUUGAAUCUGGCAGAGGGGGGUAGAAUUCCACGUGUAGCAGUGAAAUGCGUAGAGAUGUGGAGGAACACCGAUGGCGAAGGCAGCCCCCUGGGUCAAGAUUGACGCUCAUGCACGAAAGCGUGGGGAGCAAACAGG